rnacentral:lncRNA from 1 species
UUUUUCUAUCAAAAUGCAACCAUGGCCUUAGUAUUAUAAAAGGACUGGCGAUAUGUGCAAGAAUUUCUGAGGUAAACGUUAUUUUUUAACCUGUUUUCGAUGAUUAAAGUUGGUCAUGCCGUGGCAACGUGAUGACUCAAGUCCGAGUCUGUUUACAAUUUUCAAACUAAAAAAUCUGGAAUUCCCACGGUUCGAUUUUCGUAAUUUUUGCAAAAAAGUCAAGACAAAUGUCUAAACUAAAAAUCUGCUGGAGGGAUCCCCGGGAUCCCCCGGCAGUUUUCGAGAUAUUUGGCAUUGAAGUGACCAUACUCAAUUCAACCUUUGCCAAAAUGGCGUCUAAUAUCUGGGGAAGAUAUUGCGCCACCAAAGCUUGGUUUUGACAAUGAAUUGUGAAAGUCCCCCAAUAUUAGGAUCACUUUUCUUUACAGUAAGUGUUAAAUUACUUUUGAAGGACUAUUUAGAAGACUUAGGAGUUAUUUGCCUGUUUUUGCAGAUUUUAUAUCUGGGCUGGUAUUACUAGCCUGCAUGCCCAUCUCCUUGACAAGUGAAAUUGUCUGGUGGUAGAGACGAUUUUAAAAGAACAGCACAUUAUAAAGUGAUCAGAUUUUCUCUCAGUGAAAAAUUCUAUGUUCCUUUUUAAUUACAGCAGUUCAGAUGUCGAUAUAGAAUUGAAAAGGGCUUAUUCCUGAACAUCCUGCAAGGGCAGGGCCAACUGACGAUGUUGAAGAAUGAAGACAUUUUAGCAUGGAUUACUAGUAUAGAUUAUAGUAUCUCUUGUCCUUUAUGAUGUCUUCCUGAAAGUUGUUGGUGAAUACAAAUUGAGCUGUGAUCCCUCAACGUGGCCAACAACAUGCUCCACCAAAUACCUGAGCACAAUAUAGAAAGUGCACAUACAUGCAGGGAUGGAUUUACUUGGGGGGGGUUGCACCCCCUAGCCAGAGGGGGUGCACGGGGGUGCUAUUUUUUAUGAUAAAGCAAAAAAGACAAAAUAAGAUACAAUAAUUUGAGUAAUAACAUGAUGAUAAGUGAACUGUGAACAACAAUUACAAUUCAAAUACAGCAGUUGAUGGGUGGGCGGCACACAUGACCGACACAAUUCGGCAGUCGGCACCAGAGCACCCCCCCCCCCCCACCAGAUCAUGCUGGAUCCAUCCCUGCAUACAUGUACUGUAUCAUAUUUAAUUAAUGCUUGAGUAUAUUUGUUCAAAUUUAUUGAUAUUAAUAAAUAAUUGAAUUAUGUUUGUUAUAGUAGUGUACAUUUUGCACCAGCCACUCUUGAAAUUAGAUGUCAGCCACUUUUUAACUAGAUGGCCAUGGAUGACCUAAGAAAUUGUUUUCUUUAUUAAACAGCAACUUGCAAGCUUUGUGAUAUUUCUUGAAUACCUCAAAAGUUGUCAGCUGCUGUUUACAUUAUCU